CUUUAGAUAACUUUUUAAGUGUAGGUCUUUUAAACCUAAAAAAGUAUUCUAAUACUUCUAAAGA
rnacentral:tRNA from 1 species